CUUUUCUACUAAUAAAGAACUUUCAAUGGGGAAUGAUCCUGAAAAGAUUAGCAUGGCCCCUGCGCAAAGAUGACAUGCAAAUAUAUGAAGUGUUUCAUAUUUCU
ensembl:snRNA U6 U6 spliceosomal RNA